rfam:Bacillus sp. SJS contig_31, whole genome shotgun sequence.
ACCGCCUUUUAAAUAAAGUCCAGAGAGACUUGAAAGGGUGUAAAGAAAGGCCUGAUGGCCCUUCUGUUUUCCUGCACCCUGAACCGGAUUGUUCAGGGUGUUUUUAUU